CUGUCCACUGAGGUCGUCUUACUUCCUCGGGCUCCCUCCUGCUUUCCUCUGGGCAGGAAAAAGAAUCUCACUUCCUGCAGUGUCACGGAUUCCGCUGAGGAGACCGCAGAUGGGACGCUGCACUAACUCUGAAGUGACUGUGUGAAGCAGUGGCGGUUGGGAACGGAUUCCUUCAUAGAAGCAGAACUCAGGAAGGGAGUUUCUCUGUGUAGUUCUGACUGUCCUGGAACUUACUCUGUAAAUCAGCCUGACCUUGAACUUAUAGAGAUCCACCUGGUUCUGCCUGAGUGAUGGAUUAAAGAAGCUGGAAUCCCCCUCAAAAGGACUUUAAAUGAUAGCCCAUGAAAGAACCUCCUUGAUGUCAUUCCUGACAAAUUCCUCCAGUCAAGUGAAUAACCCUCCACCUCAGCACACCGCCACUCUGCCUGCCAGGCCUGGGCAGUGGCACCCAGAGAUUGCCCGAUGUCGAUGACCAGACACAUAUCUAGCUGUGGCCUUCCCUGAACCAGCUGUGGCUUGCUUUGGGGGCCAUCUGUGUUCAGAAUCGGUGCAUGCAUGCAUGAGAACAGAGGGUCUCUGUCUACACCAACUUUCCUAGAUCUGUCUCUGGUCCUGGGGUCCCAAGAAGCAACUUCAGGUUGCAGGCUGAGGCUGAAGCCUGGCUGUCUCUGCUAAGUCGUGCCACUGCUGCUGAUUCGUGUUGCUAACCCGACUCUACCCAACUGGGCUGCUGUUGUAUCUGUGAAGUGUUUGUGAGUGGAUCAAGCUGCCACUGCUGACUGUGAACUGAACUACUGAUUUAUCAACAACACAGAUGGGAGUUGCUCUAAAGAACCUUUCUAAACAGGUCCACUUCCCCCAUAUCCUUUCUUUCCUACUACCUCUGGUUGGUGGUGGGCUAUAAGGGAGGUUAAAGUGUUUAAGAACCAUCAUUGAAAAUAAGGUUUGAAAAAAUUAAAGUUAC